rnacentral:rRNA from 1 species
AACGAACGCUGGCGGCAUGCCUAACACAUGCAAGUCGAACGAGACCUUCGGGUCUAGUGGCGCACGGGUGCGUAACGCGUGGGAACCUGCCCUUAGGUUCGGAAUAACUCCCCGAAAGGGGUGCUAAUACCGGAUAAUGUCUUCGGACCAAAGAUUUAUCGCCUUUGGAUGGGCCCGCGUUGGAUUAGCUAGUUGGUAGGGUAAAAGCCUACCAAGGCGACGAUCCAUAGCUAGUCUGAGAGGAUGAUCAGCCACACUGGGACUGAGACACGGCCCAGACUCCUACGGGAGGCAGCAGUGGGGAAUAUUGGACAAUGGGCGAAAGCCUGAUCCAGCAAUGCCGCGUGAGUGAUGAAGGCCUUAGGGUUGUAAAGCUCUUUUACCCGGGAUGAUAAUGACAGUACCGGGAGAAUAAGCUCCGGCUAACUCCGUGC